GUAUAAACAAGGUGAGGUUGGGUGAGAACCCUCGUCGGUUCGAGCCGAGCGUAGCGAGACAAUGUUGGAGCCUGCGACAACUACCCGAAGGGCACGGUAAUCCCUCCCUCACCGCCA
rnacentral:sRNA from 1 species